AGCAGAAUUGCUGGGUCAUAUGAUGACUUUGUAUUUAACUUUUUGAGGAACCACCAAAAUAAUAUUCAUAGAGAUUGUACCAUUUUACAUUCUCACUAGCAAU
rnacentral:pre_miRNA from 1 species